rnacentral:rRNA from 1 species
UUAAUUGAAGAGUUUGAUCAUGGCUCAGAUUGAACGCUGGCGGCAGGCUUAACACAUGCAAGUCGAGCGGUAGCACAGGGGAGCUUGCUCCCUGGGUGACGAGCGGCGGACGGGUGAGUAAUGUCUGGGAAACUGCCUGAUGGAGGGGGAUAACUACUGGAAACGGUAGCUAAUACCGCAUAACGUCGCAAGACCAAAGAGGGGGACCUUCGGGCCUCUUGCCAUCAGAUGUGCCCAGAUGGGAUUAGCUAGUAGGUGGGGUAAUGGCUCACCUAGGCGACGAUCCCUAGCUGGUCUGAGAGGAUGACCAGCCACACUGGAACUGAGACACGGUCCAGACUCCUACGGGAGGCAGCAGUGGGGAAUAUUGCACAAUGGGCGCAAGCCUGAUGCAGCCAUGCCGCGUGUGUGAAGAAGGCCUUCGGGUUGUAAAGCACUUUCAGCGAGGAGGAAGGUGGUGAACUUAAUACGUUCACCAAUUGACGUUACUCGCAGAAGAAGCACCGGCUAACUCCGUGCCAGCAGCCGCGGUAAUACGGAGGGUGCAAGCGUUAAUCGGAAUUACUGGGCGUAAAGCGCACGCAGGCGGUUUGUUAAGUCAGA